rnacentral:lncRNA from 8 species
GUCUCUACAAUGUCACAGUGCCAGUGCUGACCUGCACAACCUGUCUCAGCACCUGGACAGCAAACUUGGCAGAUCUGAUAAAGAAUGGGUACUGGCCAGCCACCGUCAACUGUGACAGCAUAUACCAGCAUGCUUGUCUCCUGGACUGUCACCUUGAUGUAGUGGAGAGGCUUGCGUACUCCAGUGACCCUGAGAGCUAACCCCACCGGCAGGUGCAAUCAAGCCGGACAGGUGGAAGGGUAGGAGGCAGACAAAACAUUCCCUGGUUCUCCAGGUUGGGGCUCACUCACCCCCCACAUAACAAAUCAUUUAUUACAGAAACCUUCACAGGCCCUAUGUUCCUCCAGGAAGUGAGUGCAACUACUCACCGUUGGAGAUGCGUUGUUAAUUUAUAGAUGUAUUGUAUUUCAGAGGAAACAGCUGAGAACAUGGAUGGUCCCCAGGUACGACAGAGAACAACUGAACUCCUGUUUCUGAGCAUCAAACAAAGGAAACAGAACCUCUACUGUCAGACAGGUUUGUUACAUUUCAUGAACAUUGAAUUGCACACACUUCAUUUCUCUUUCAUUUCAAAGCCUUGCAAUUUAACAAAUAAUUCCAUUCUCCUUUUGUUUUGAUGACUGAUGGAUGAAAGAAAAGACACCCUCUGCGCAGAAAGAUAUUGGAAGAAAAGGCCAAAUUGACAGCUGCCAUAGAGGAGUACAACACCCUUGUACCAAAUUCAGCAAUACCAUCUGCAGAUGAGAUCUUUUCUGCAGACCUUCAUGCAUGGCCUUGGGAGCUGCAUGGACAAAGUAAGUAGUAUGUUUGUGUGUCACAAUAACUAUGUUUCUGUUUUGCUAUCUGUGUUUGUUCAGUUGCGCAAACACAGACAGCACUGCCAGCACUGCCAAAGUUACAAAUCCACAUUGCAUUCUUAUGAAUUUACAGCUGACCUACUCACAAAGAAAACAGCCUUUGACCGGGUGAUGCUCCUGAGACGGCUGAAGGAGGAGGAGUUAAUUGUCCUAAAGGAAGUCAAGCAGCACUGGGAAAGCCUAAAGAGGGAAUCGGAGAAUGUGCAAGACCUUGCUUCACAUGUGGCACCUGACCUAAGCAGGCAAAGACCACGGACAGCUACUGUUAGCUAGUGCGGUGGAAAUGCAGGGUAUGCCGUGGCGAGUUCAGAACCACGGCAGUGGAGACUGGAGAGUGUCACUAACAACAAAAACGAAGACCACAAGAUGAUUUUUGCCUACUGUAAACAUUGGCAUUUCAAAUCACGAUAUGAAUCUGAUUUUCAACCAUCUGACCUACGACUGUCUGAUUCAUAUAGCUUGAUUUUUUUUUAAUGUUUGUUCUUUAUUAUAUCAACUGAUUGCUUUUGUAUGGGGUGCUUUGGCUGAAAGACCAACACGUUUGAUCUGGAGAAAAAUAGACUAUUAAACUUACAAUUAUAUUUACUAAAGACAGUUAAUUUGCAUCUACUCCAUAAGAUAAUCAGCUAUGUGCAUUGUGUUAUAGAAAUAGGCAUAGACUGAAGGUAAAACAUGAGAGAGUGAAAUGAAAUGUAUAUAUUUAAUAACAUAGUAAAAUUAAUCAAUACAAACUUAAAAGACAAACAUACUCAACUUCUGACUACUUUAAUACACGUGAAUUUAUCACAAUACCUUUGGUCCCCUAAAAUGGGGGGGGGGGGGGGGGCUUAUGUACAAAAUGUGCUGUAAUUUCUAAACGGUUCACCAGAUAUGGAUGAAAAUACACUCAAAUUAAAGCUGACAGUCUGCACUUUAACCUCAGUCAUUGUAUAAUUUCAAAUACAAAGUUCUGGAGUACAGAUCCAAAACAACAAAAAAUGUGUCACUGUUGCAAUACUUUUGUAGCUCACUUUAUAUGAAGAAUAUCUAAAUGCAUAUUCUCAUGAAACUGUUUGAGAUGAAAUGGUUGGCAUGCUGAUGCUCCAUGAAUGUUUCAAUGGUAAAUCAUGGUGAAUUUGGCCAACCAUUUAUGAUUGACAGUGAUACAUGUGAAGGGAGAGUGAGGAAUACAUUUGUGCAUAAAGUAGGUUAAACUGGAGAAACGCGGUCCUCGGCCUUGAUCCAGUCAUCGUCCCAUUUCUUGCCACUGUAAGACAAGAAAGAAAACAUAAGGAAUGUCAUGUUUUUAUGCAGAAAUAGAAAAUAAAUCAUUCAAUAUGUAAUCGUGAGCAAGGGUUGCACCUAUUCCUUCCAAAGGGUUUUAUGAUUUUUGGUUAAACCUAAUCUCACGUUGGUCAAGUGCCUUCUCCUCUCAAAUAUAAUAUUUCAACUACAUAAAGUACCUUGAAAAAGUAUUCAUACCCCUUGGAUUUCACCACAUUUUAUUGUGUUACAACGUUGGAUUGAAAUUGAUUUAAUUUAAAAAAAAUUGUCAACAAGCAACUCAAAAUGGUGUACUCUAAUGUCAAAGUGGAAGAAAAUUUAGAUUUUUUAUAAAGGCAUGCCUAAAUUAGUUCACAAGUUAAAUUUGGCUUAACAAAUCACAUAAUAUGUUAUAUGGACUCAAUAGGGGUUAACAUUAUUUUUGAAUAACUACCCAUACCUCUGUACCCCAUACAUAGAACAUCUGUAUGGUCCCUCAGUCAGGUAUUGAAUUUCAAGCAACAAAGACCAGGGAGCUUUUUGAAAGCCUCAUAAAGAAGGGCAGUGAUUGGUAGAUGGGUAACAAUAACAAAUCAGACAUUGAAUAUAUACUUAAGCACGGUUAAGUUAAUAAUUAUGGUGUGGAUGAUGUAUUAAACCACCCAGACACAUCAAAGAUAGUCGUUCUUCUGAACUGAGCUGCAGGACAUGAAUGCAACUGCUCAGGGGUGUUACCAUGAGGCCACUGGUGAUUUUACAGUUACAGGCUGUCAUGGUAGAAAACCUGAGGAUGGAUCAACAUCAUUGUAGUAACGCCACAAUAAUGACUUAAACUACAGUGAAAAGAAGAAUACAAAUAUACAGAAGAGAAAAACAAUCUAAGCAUGCAUCUUGUAUGCAACAAGGCACUGGAGUUAAUACUGAAAAAAAACUGCAAAGGAAUAUAGUUUUUGGCCUAAAUGCAAAGCCUGUUUUCCACCAGACACUGGGAAAGGAAUCCACCUUUCAGCAGUACAAUAACCUACAACACAAUGACAAAUCUACACUGGAGUUGCUUACCAAGAAGACAGUGAAUGUUCCUGAGUUGCCAAGUUCAAGUUUGGACUUAAAUCUGAUUGGAAAUCUAUUGCAAUCUAUUGCAAUCUAUUGUCUAGACAUGAUCCCCAACAUAUUGACAGAGCUUGAAGAAUUAUAAAAAGAAUUUUGCACAAUCCUGGUGUGUUAAGCUCUAAAAGACUUACCCAAGAAGACUCACAGCUGUAAUCACUGUCAAAGGCGUUUCCAAGGGGUCUGACUACUUUUGCAAGGCACUGUAACGUCCAAUACCAAGGUACAGCCAAACCAUAUGUAUUUGGAGAGUGAAGCUAAAAUGUGAAAUUUGGAUCUAUACUCCAGAAUUUAGUAUUUUAAAUAAAAGGUUUCAUUUACUAUAACUUUAAUACACUUUAAUUGAAUUUGUCCAAAUACUUAUGGCUUCUUAAAAUUGGGGGGGACUAUAGUCAUAAAGUGAUUUCCUUUCUAAAUUGUGAAAGGGUGACCUGUACUCUCCUCAUAUGAAACAUUUGAUUUCAAAUCCAAAAUUCUGGAGUUUAGAGUCAAAUUGUACAUUUUAGCUUCACUGUCCAAAUACAUAUGGUGUUGAGUGUACAGUAUAUCAUCAAUACAUAUGGUGUUGAGUGUACAGUAUAUCAUCAAUACAUAUGGUGUUGAGUGUUCAGUAUAUCAUCAAUACAUAUGGUGUUGAGUGUUCAGUAUAUCAUCAAUACAUAUGGUGUUGAGUGUACAGUAUAUCCUCAGUUCAUUCUAGGAGAUUAGUUGAAGUAAACUUACCAUCCAGAGCAUGGCUUCCACCUCACUUUCUGCUCCUGACCCUUUAUUGUGCAACAAAUACAAAUGUCUGUUUUAUUUUAAAGCUGCACUAUGCUGAAAUCGCUCCACAAUGUCAUGGUAGCUAAUAUCAGCUGUUUGAAGCUGUUGUACAAAACCAAAGUAAAAGGCUCAAUAACAACACUUAAGAACGGGAAGCAUAGAAAUAACGCACACUGUAGAACAGAUCUACCGCUUCUUAGAUUUGCUUUCAAGUAAAAUGAUGAUCUGUAACUAACAUUUCUAUGUGAAUUUGGUCGGGCUCCCCAAAAAGUUACAUACAGUGGGGCAAAAAAGUAUUUAGUCAGCCACCAAUUGUGCAAGUUCUCCCACUUAAAAAGAUGAGAGAGGCCUGGAAUUUCCAUCAUAGGUACACGUCAACUAUGACGGACAAAAUGAGAAAAAAAAUCCAGAAAAUCACAUUGUAGGAUUUUUUUAUGAAUUUAUUUGCAAAUUAUGGUGGAAAAUAAGUAUUUGGUCACCAACAAACAAGCAAGAUUUCUGGCUCCCACAGACCUGUAACUUCUUCUUUAAGAGGCUCCUCUGUCCUCCACUCGUUACCUGUAUUAAUGGCACCUGUUUGAACUUGUUAUCAGUAUAAAAGACACCUGUCCACAACCUCAAACAGUCACACUCCAAACUCCACUAUGGCCAAGACCAAAGAGCUGUCAAAGGACACCAGAAACAGAAUUGUAGACCUGCACCAGGCUGGGAAGACUGAAUCUGCAAUAGGUAAGCAGCUUGGUUUGAAGAAAUCAACUGUGGGAGCAAUUAUUAGGAAAUGGAAGACAUACAAGACCACUGAUAAUCUCCCUCGAUCUGGGGCUCCACGCAAGAUCUCACCCCGUGGGGUCAAAAUGAUCAUGAGAACGGUGAGCAAAAAUCCCAGAAGCACACGGGGGGACCUAGUGAAUGACCUGCAGAGAGCUGGGACCAAAGUAACAAAGCCUACCAUCAGUAACACACUACGCCGCCAGGGACUCAAAUCCUGCAGUGCCAGACGUGUCCCCCUGCUUAAGCCAGUACAUGUCUAGGCCCGUCUGAAGUUUGCUAGAGAGCAUUUGGAUGAUCCAGAAGAGGAUUGGGAGAAUGUCAUAUGGUCAGAUGAAACCAAAAUAUAACUUUUUGGUAAAAACUCAACUCGUCGUGUUUGGAGGACAAAGAAUGCUGAGUUGCAUCCAAAGAACACCAUACCUACUGUGA